rnacentral:rRNA from 1 species
ACGCUCGACACCUACGGGAGGCAGCAGUGGGGAAUAUUGCACAAUGGGGGAAACCCGUGAUGCAGCGACGCCGCGUGAGCGAAGAAGUAUCUCGGUAUGUAAAGCUCUAUCAGCAGGGAAGAAGAUGACGGUACCUGACUAAGAAGCACCGGCUAAAUACGUGCCAGGAGCCGCGGUAAUCUGAGCGGGCUGGCAAGGC